UGUUAUGUGGCUUUAUGGGUGUGAAUGUUAAUGACAUCUAUUUCAGGGGUCCCAAAACAUGGAACGGUGCUCACCUUUCCCUAUGACCUGACCGCUUUGGGAGCUAUGCAGGAGCUAUAUCAUGGCACAUAGUUGGAUUGGAGCUGCAAAUCUUGUUUAUCUCAAUGUGGCAUCCAUGAAGGGUGAGUAGUGUAUAGAUCUGGUCUUCACCUGCGACUGUCAGUAACAACCUAUAUCUAGCACAAAUCAUUAAGUAUUGCAUAGGUGUCGUCUUGUGACUGGUAAAUGUUCAC
rnacentral:lncRNA from 1 species